AAAUCCGUCGAAUUUUGAA
rnacentral:tRNA from 1 species